rnacentral:rRNA from 1 species
UACGUAGGGUGCAAGCGUUGUCCGGAAUUAUUGGGCGUAAAGAGCUCGUAGGCGGUCUGUCGCGUCGGCUGUGAAAACCCGGAGCUCAACUCCGGGCCUGCAGUCGAUACGGGCAGACUGGAGUUCGGCAGGGGGAGACUGGAAUUCCUGGUGUAGCGGUGAAAUGCGCAGAUAUCAGGAGGAACACCGGUGGCGAAGGCGGGUCUCUGGGCCGAUGACUGACGCUGAGACGCGAAAGCGUGGGGAGCAAACAGG